CUUGUCCAAGUUAGUCAGAAGGCUGUGUUAGGCAGGAAAGAGCCUACAGGAGAAACAGCUGGGAUGCAGACGGGCUAUGGAAAUCUCAGUUCUAGGAACCGUGUCGUGCCCUUUCGUCCGGAGGAUCUGAUUUCUUUUAGGCCUUAAGAAUAUACAUAUCUUCACUUAUUUAUGAAAAUCACUAUUAACAUUUAAAUUGGUGGACUUCAAGUAAAGCAAAUUACCCUCCAUAAUGAAGACCUGAAUAGAACAAAAGGACCAACUCUCCUCAGAGUAAGGGAGGAUUCUCCAGCAGACAGCCUUCAGAUUUGAACUGGAACAUCAGCCAUUCUGAGUCUCCAACCUGCUGGCCGACUCUGCAGAUCUUUGGACUUGUGAG